rnacentral:rRNA from 1 species
CCUACGGGAGGCAGCAGUGAGGAAUAUUGGUCAAUGGACGAGAGUCUGAACCAGCCAAGUAGCGUGAAGGAUGACUGCCCUAUGGGUUGUAAACUUCUUUUAUAUGGGAAUAAAAUGUUCCACGUGUGGGAUUUUGUAUGUACCAUAUGAAUAAGGAUCGGCUAACUCCGUGCCAGCAGCCACGGUAAUACGGAGGAUCCGAGCGUUAUCCGGAUUUAUUGGGUUUAAAGGGAGCGUAGGUGGAUUGUUAAGUCAGUUGUGAAAGUUUGCGGCUCAACCGUAAAAUUGCAGUUGAAACUGGCAGUCUUGAGUACAGUAGAGGUGGGCGGAAUUCGUGGUGUAGCGGUGAAAUGCUUAGAUAUCACGAAGAACUCCGAUUGCGAAGGCAGUUCACUGGACUGCAACUGACACUGAGGCUCGAAAGUGUGGGUAUCAAACAGGAUUAGAUACCCCUGUAGUC